CCACAGACCCCAGCAAGGACCUUGCAGAGGGAGGAGAGAGCUGCUGUUCUUUCUGGGAGGGUCUCCGAACGAUGAACCAGAGAGCAGACAGAAGACUGGGGCUCCCUUCUAGGGAUCUCCAGGCUGGUUCUCACAAACCCCUGAGCCCCUUGCCGCUUCCUCAUCCAGGCUGCCUCCUUCUAUUGCAACAAGAUGGGCUUCGAACCGCUGGCCUACAAGGGCCUGGAGACGGGCUCCCGGGAGGUGGUCAGUCAUGUCAUCAAGCAAGGGAAAAUUGUGUUUGUUCUCUGCUCUGCUCUCAAUCCCUGGAACAAAGGUGAGGGCAUCCCAUUGGGGUCAGCAUGACUCUGACAUUUGCAUGGGGCCAUGGGUUGGGGCAAGGGUGAGGCCGGAGCCCUGGAGGGGCUGGGACCGGGAUAAAGACUAGAAACUCCCCUGCCUGCAUUCUUCUGACGACCACAGAGAUGGGUGACCACCUGGUGAAGCAUGGUGAUGGCGUAAAGGACAUCGCAUUCGAGGUGGAAGACUGUGAACACAUUGUGCAGAAAGCCCGAGAACGGGGCGCUAAAAUUGUACGGGAGCCAUGGGUGGAGGAAGACAAAUUCGGGAAGGUGAAGUUCGCUGUGCUGCAGACGUAUGGAGAUACCACGCACACCCUGGUGGAGAAGAUCAACUACACCGGUCGUUUCUUACCUGGAUUCGAGGCCCCAACAUACAAGGACACCCUACUUCCAAAACUACCCAGCUGUAACCUGGAGAUCAUCGACCAUAUUGUAG
rnacentral:lncRNA from 1 species